GCCUGGAUGGCUCAAUGGUUGAGCGUCUGCCUUCGGCUCAGGUUGUGAUUCCGGGGUCCUGGGAUCAAGUCCCACAUCAGGCU
rnacentral:tRNA from 1 species